UGGAGGGUUUGAUCCUGGCUCAGGACGAACGCUGGCGGCGUGCUUAACACAUGCAAGUCGAACGGAAAGGCCCUUCGGGGUGCUCGAGUGGCGAACGGGUGAGUAACACGUGGGUGAUCUGCCCUGCACUUUGGGAUAAGCCUGGGAAACUGGGUCUAAUACCGAAUAGGACCACGCGCUUCAUGGUGUGUGGUGGAAAGCUUUUGCGGUGUGGGAUGGGCCCGCGGCCUAUCAGCUUGUUGGUGGGGUAAUGGCCUACCAAGGCGACGACGGGUAGCCGGCCUGAGAGGGUGACCGGCCACACUGGGACUGAGAUACGGCCCAGACUCCUACGGGAGGCAGCAGUGGGGAAUAUUGCACAAUGGGCGCAAGCCUGAUGCAGCGACGCCGCGUGAGGGAUGACGGCCUUCGGGUUGUAAACCUCUUUCAAUAGGGACGAAGCGUGAGUGACGGUACCUAUAGAAGAAGCACCGGCCAACUACGUGCCAGCAGCCGCGGUA
rnacentral:rRNA from 1 species